rnacentral:rRNA from 1 species
AUACGGAGGGGGUUAGCGUUGUUCGGAAUUACUGGGCGUAAAGCGCACGUAGGCGGACUGAUCAGUUGGGGGUGAAAUCCCAGGGCUCAACCCUGGAACUGCCUCCAAUACUGUCAGUCUUGAGAUCGGAAGAGGUGAGUGGAAUUCCUAGUGUAGAGGUGAAAUUCGUAGAUAUUAGGAGGAACACCAGUGGCGAAGGCGGCUCACUGGUCCGAUACUGACGCUGAGGUGCGAAAGCGUGGGGAGCAAACAGGAUUAGAAACCCUAGUAGUCC